rnacentral:tRNA from 1 species
AUUAAUUGAAGCCAAAAUAUGAGGCAUUUUAUUGUUAAUAAAAAAAUUGAAUAAAAUCCAAUUAAA